GACGAACGCUGGCGGCGUGCCUAAUACAUGCAAGUCGAGCGGACUUUUGGGAGCUUGCUCCCAAAGGUUAGCGGCGGACGGGUGAGUAACACGUGGGCAACCUGCCUGUAAGACUGGGAUAACUUCGGGAAACCGGAGCUAAUACCGGAUAACACAACAUGCCACAUGGCGUGCUGUUGAAAGAUGGCUUUGGCUAUCACUUACAGAUGGGCCCGCGGCGCAUUAGCUAGUUGGUGAGGUAAUGGCUCACCAAGGCGACGAUGCGUAGCCGACCUGAGAGGGUGAUCGGCCACACUGGGACUGAGACACGGCCCAGACUCCUACGGGAGGCAGCAGUAGGGAAUCUUCCGCAAUGGACGAAAGUCUGACGGAGCAACGCCGCGUGAGCGAAGAAGGCCUUCGGGUCGUAAAGCUCUGUUGUUAGGGAAGAACAAGUGCCGUUCGAAUAGGUCGGCACCUUGACGGUACCUAACCAGAAAGCCACGGCUAACUACGUGC
rnacentral:rRNA from 1 species